rnacentral:rRNA from 1 species
AUGUUGGGUUAAGUCCCGCAACGAGCGCAACCCCGUAUUGUUAGUUGCCAUCAUUCAGUUGGGCACUCUAGCGAGACUAGCCGGUAAUAAACCGGAGGAAGGUGGGGAUGACGUCAAUCAUCAUGCCCCUUAGUGACCUGGGCUACACACGUGCUACAAUGGUUGGUACAACGAGUUGCGAGUCGGUGACGGCGAGCUAAUCUCUUAAAGCCAAUCUCAGUUCGGAUUGUAGGCUGCAACUCGCCUACAUGAAGUCGGAAUCGCUAGUAAUCGCGGAUCAGCACGCCGCGGUGAAUACGUUCCCGGGCCUU